CCAGCAGCUGCGGUAAUUCCAGCUCCAAUAGCGUAUACUAAAGUUGUUGCAGUUAAAAAGCUCGUAGUUGAAUUUCUGGUCUCGAGACGCGGUCGGCUCCAAGGAGUUUGUACCUGUGGAUUGGGACCAUCCUCGAGAAGAACAUAUCUGUCAUUGAGUUGAUGGGUAUGGGACUCUCGUCAUUUACUGUGAGCAAAAUAGAGUGUUCAAAGCAGGCUUACGCCGUUGAAUACAUUAGCAUGGAAUAAUAAGAUAGGACCUUGGUCUAUUUUGUUGGUUAGUUCUCCAAGGUAAUGAUUAAUAGGGACAGUUGGGGGUAUUCGUAUUCAAUUGUCAGAGGUGAAAUUCUUGGAUUUAUGGAAGACGAACUACUGCGAAAGCAUUUACCAAGGAUGUUUUCAUUAAUCAAGAACGAAAGU
rnacentral:rRNA from 1 species